UAGGGAAUCUUCGGCAAUGGGGGGAACCCUGACCGAGCAACGCCGCGUGAGUGAAGAAGGUUUUCGGAUCGUAAAGCUCUGUUGUUAAGGAAGAACGAGUGUGAGAAUGGAAAGUUCAUACUGUGACGGUACUUAACCAGAAAGGGACGGCUAACUACGUGCCAGCAGCCGCGGUAAUACGUAGGUCCCGAGCGUUGUCCGGAUUUAUUGGGCGUAAAGCGAGCGCAGGCGGUCAAUUAAGUCUGAUGUGAAAGCCCCCGGCUCAACCGGGGAGGGUCAUUGGAAACUGGUUGACUUGAGUGCAGAAGAGGAGAGUGGAAUUCCAUGUGUAGCGGUGAAAUGCGUAGAUAUAUGGAGGAACACCAGUGGCGAAGGCGACUCUCUGGUCUGUAACUGACGCGGAGGUUCGAAAGCGUGGGUAGCAAACAGG
rnacentral:rRNA from 1 species